ensembl:lncRNA
GCGGCAGGGUAGCCUAGUGGUUAGAGUGUAGAGGCGGCAGGGUAGCCUAGUGGUUAGAGUGUAGAGGUGGCAGGGUAGCCUAGUGGUUAGAGUUUAGAGGUGGCAGGGUAGCCUAGUGGUUAGAGCGUAGAGGCGGCAGGGUAGCCUAGUGGUUAGAGUGUAGAGGCGGCAGGGUAGCCUAGUGGUUAGAGCGUGGAGGCGGCAGGGUAGCCUAGUGGUUAGAGCGUAGAGGCGGCAGGGUAGCCUAGUGGUUAGAGCGUAGAGGCGGCAGGGUAGCCUAGUGGUUAGAGUGUAGAGGUGGCAGGGUAGCCUAGUGGUUAGAGUGUAGAGGUGGCAGGGUAGCCUAGUGGUUAGAGUGUAGAGGCGGCAGGGUAGCCUAGUGGUUAGAGCGUUGGACUAGUAACCGGAAGGUUGCAAGUGCAACUCCCCGACAUGACAAGGUACAAAUCUGUCGUUCUGCCCCUGAACAGGCAGGUAACCCACUGUUCCUAGGGGGAAAACAAGAAUUUGUUCUUAACUGACUUGCCUA